CUAGAAUUGGGCCUCCGCCUUUCUGAGAGUCUGAGUCCGAGUCCCCCGUCUAUGCUCUCGCCCGAACCACCAUCGUCGACGCCGACGUCUCCAUUCCAGCCGCCGAUUAUUCCAGUUGCCAGAGUGCUCAGCCUCUUAUCAAGGUCAAUAUGAAGACAGUGUCAGGGAUUGUGGUUUCUUCAAAGCCAAUUUCUUUAUCCAAAGCCACUUCAAUUCUCUCCACAUUCGUCUCUACUGACACCGGCGCUUCCCAAGCUAUGGCUGCUUACCUUCGACGCUCCUUGGCGUCAUUCAAGGAGCUGAAGCAGCUUCAUAAGGAGUUCAAGACUAAACAAUCAGAACGCAAGCGGAAGAGGCAUAGAGCUGCCGAUGACGAGGGAGAGACAAAUGUUGGAGAAACUGCAAAAGAAGAAGUGUGCCAUGAGUCGGAGUCUAAGCGUAAAAAACAGCGCAGAUGAGUUCAUUGUUUGAUGAUUCUUCUCCCAAGGAUUCCCAGUGUUUUGGUCAGAUUUUAUAUGAAAAACAGCUGGAAUUCAUGGCCAGAUUUUGGAUUUCUGAUUAGAAGGUAAGUUUUUUGACGAGGAGUGAUAUCUGUCUAUUUUGGGGUCUAGAGGAAAUGGCACUUUGAGGUAAGUUUUGUUGAGAAAUGAAAUUAGGCUAUUAUCUCUUGUAACAGAAAAGUGGUCUCAGAGUUUGUUAUUGCCUUUUCACUAGGGGUGAAUAUUUGACCAUUUAAACCCGCAAACAUGCCUGAUCCGCAACCCGAAAACUCAAUUUUUGACAAAAUCCGUCAGAUUCGGGUUAAAUUCGGUUCGAACCUGACAUGGCUCGGGUCAGGUUAGAGUUUUGAAUGUUCGGUGUCGCGGGUUUGGGUUUAGACCCGAAACUUGAAUAGUAUUAAAAUUAUGAAUUUUUAUUUUUUUGGUAUUUUUGAAAGCAUAAAAAAUAGUAUUUUUGAAAAAAUUGUACCAAGGCCCAUUUUCGUCGUGACAGACAACAACUCUCAAUUCAUCAGUUUCGACUUCCAAGACUUUUGCAAAUUCUGGAAUAUCAAGUUCAGCUUCUCCACGCCAAGGUAUCCCCAAGCAAAUGGACAAGCAGUCAUCCAACAAGACUAUCAUGAACAACAUCAAGAAGCGCCUUGAAAAAGCUAAGGGAAGAUGGGCUGACGAGUUGCCGGAAGUCCUAUGGUCCUACCGAACUACAACCAGGACUUCGACAGGAGAAACACCAUUCUCAUUAGCCUACGGGAUGGAGGCAGUCAUCCAUACCGAGAGUGAAGUUCUGACAGCCAGAUAUGAGCUGACGACAGACAAAUCGAAUUGGGAAAACAUGUGCCAUGAACUCGACACCAUCGACGAAAGAAGGGACAAAACACUCUUAAGAGUCUCAGCCUAUCAACAAAGCAUAGCCAGACAUUACAACAAGAACAUCCGCACUCGGAAAUUCAAAAUGGGAGAUUGGGUACUAUGAAGAGUGUUCCAGAACACUAAGGAAGCAGGAGUAGGUAAGCUCGCCCCGACAUGGAAAGGUCCUUACCUGAUCACAAAGGUAGUCAGACAUGGAGCAUACAAGCUAUAAACUAAAGAUGGAUGCCAAAUAAACAACAGCUGGAACGUUAUCCACUUAAAAUAGUAUCACUUUUAACUCAACCCAGUCUUCUUUCAUUUUCUUUCAUCAAUGAUCUUAUGGGAUCCUCGUUCAAGCAACAUACUGACACUGUCAUGUAGGAAGUGUCAGAACUACAUUUGGGCUUGAUCCCUGACAAGGGUAUGUAGAUAGCUCUACGGAGUACAGCCCCAAUUACGUCCAAUUUUUUUUUUAACUAAGAUUGGUCGUCCAGCAAGUCAGUCAAGAAAGUAAACUAGCCUGACCAUAAUUUAUCCGAGGACAAACACCCGAGUUAACACAAAAGAACAAAACCAAUAGUCUAAGUUUAAAAUACCAAGUAUAGUACACUUAGAUUGGGGGACAAAGAUAGAGUAAAUCACCAGCCAAACAGCCAUGGUGAAUGAUGUGAUUAGCCAAGUCAAUCAGUCAUCCAUUCAGCCAUCCGGACAAAACAAAAACAAGAAGGAUGCUAACACAAGUAAUCAUCCAAAUAAAGCAUACAUCGAUACAAGAUUACCUCGAGUCAAAAUACAAGAGUGCUACAUAACCAUCAAGACUGCCAGCUUACCAUAUCAACCAUUCAAGCAAGCCCGACUACUACUGACAUAAUGAAAAGAUAGAAAUUACAACAACAUAUAACAACUUAUAAAAAGUUUGUACAAUCAUAAAAAAAAGGCUUCUACAAGAAAGAGAUAGUAAAUCAAGCCAAUGUCAGAAAUCAGUCCUCUUGCCCAAGGUCGCCUGUAGUGAUAUCUCCAAAGGAGACAUCCAGGUUGUCAGUCUAAAUAGCCUCCUCAUCCCUCAUUUGCUGUAGUUUUUCAUAAUCAGCAAUGAACUGAGUUACAUUCCAAGAAUCAGUCUUCCCAUCACGAAAAUCAAUCGCCAUUUGACCGCGACACUGGAUCUUGACCUCUAAGGCAAUAUCAGUCAAUCGACCCUCCAACAUAUCAACCUUGACUUGAACAUUGGCCAAGGUAGCCAGGGUAGGUUGCAGUCGACUGGCAUCUAGAUCCUUAGCAUCCAAUUGGGUCUUGAGUUCCCCGUUAAGUUUCUCAAGGUCUUUCUUGCAGGUCUUCAAUCCCUUAACCUCAAACCGCAGAUCAACAUUAUGACGGUUAAACAUUUUGACUUGUUUUUUCAAUUCUUGAAUCUUCUCAUUUGCCCACAUAAGGCCUUGCAUACCCCGACAUAAUAUAGAAAAACAAUAACAAAGCAAUCAAUUUAACUAUCCAUCAUUAUGCAAUAAAUUUGAUAAAUCAGACAUACCUGAAAAGCAUGAGAAAUGGAAGCAGAAAGUGAUGACUUUGAUCCAAGCUGGUCAAACCUGUCUUUGUUCUCAGGCCAUAGUAGCUUGUUAACCUCUUCAAGGUGAGGGCCGAACUCAGAAUGUAUUGAGGCAGACGACGCAAAAGAAAGCUCUAUCUUCUCAGCAAACCAGUCAGAUGAAUCAGUUGGAGAAGUCUGCUUCUUCUUGUUCUUCUGAGUCUUUCCAGCUGUAGGAGGAGGAAGAGGUGGAACUUCAUUAAAAA